rnacentral:rRNA from 1 species
ACUCCUACGGGAGGCAGCAGUGGGGAAUCUUAGACAAUGGGGGAAACCCUGAUCUAGCCAUGCCGCGUGAGCGAUGAAGGCCUUAGGGGUUGUAAAAGCUCUUUCAGCUUGGGAAGAUAAUGACGGUACCAGCAGAAGAAGCCCCGGCUAACUCCGUUGCCAGCAGCCGCGGUAAUACGGAGGGGCUAGCGUUGUUCGGAAUUACUGGGCGUAAAGCGCACGUAGGCGGA